rnacentral:rRNA from 1 species
ACGCUGGCGGCAGGCUUAACACAUGCAAGUCGAACGGUAACAGGAAUUAGCUUGCUAAUUUGCUGACGAGUGGCGGACGGGUGAGUAAUGCUUGGGAAUCUGGCUUAUGGAGGGGGAUAACUACGGGAAACUGUAGCUAAUACCGCGUAAAAUCUUCGGAUUAAAGGGUGGGACUUUCGAGCCACCUGCCAUAAGAUGAGCCCAAGUGGGAUUAGGUAGUUGGUUAGGUAAAGGCUGACCAAGCCGACGAUCUCUAGCUGGUCUGAGAGGAUGACCAGCCACACUGGAACUGAGACACGGUCCAGACUCCUACGGGAGGCAGCAGUGGGGAAUAUUGCACAAUGGGGGGAACCCUGAUGCAGCCAUGCCGCGUGAAUGAAGAAGGCCUUCGGGUUGUAAAGUUCCUUCGGUGACGAGGAAGGUUGAUAGGUUAAUAGCCUAUCAAAUUGACGUUAAUCACAGAAGAAGCACCGGCUAACUCCGUGCCAGCAGCCGCGGUAAUACGGGGGGUGCGAGCGUUAAUCGGAAUAACUGGGCGUAAAGGGCACGCAGGCGGUGACUUAAGUGAGAUGUGAAAGCCCCGAGCUUAACUUGGGAAUUGCAUUUCAUACUGGGUCGCUAGAGUACUUUAGGGAGGGGUAGAAUUCCACGUGUAGCGGUGAAAUGCGUAGAGAUGUGGAGGAAUACCGAAGGCGAAGGCAGCCCCUUGGGAAUGUACUGACGCUCAUGUGCGAAAGCGUGGGGAGCAAACAGGAUUAGAUACCCUGGUAGUCCACGCUGUAAACGAUGUCGAUUUGGGGAUUGGGCUUUGAGCUUGGUGCCCGUAGCUAACGUGAUAAAUCGACCGCCUGGGGAGUACGGCCGCAAGGUUAAAACUCAAAUGAAUUGACGGGGGCCCGCACAAGCGGUGGAGCAUGU